rnacentral:ncRNA from 1 species
UGAAGGUUCGCUUAGUCGCGAUUAAAAGGGAAUGUGAGUGAGAAUCUCCGACUGUCCCGCAGCAGUGAACUCCAUUUAGGCUUCCAGACAUGAGCCAUUGCCCAUUUGGGUGAGAAGGCGUCUGGGAGUGGAGGAAAGUCUGAAGACCUGCCUUUUUCGGU